rnacentral:tRNA from 1 species
GAGGGUGAAGCUUAGUGGUAGGGGGUGUGCCUAGCAGGCACCAGGUCCUGGGUUCACCCCCUAGUACCUUCG